UGCAGAAUCCCGUGAACCAUCGAGUCUUUGAACGCAAGUUGCGCCCCAAGCCUUACGGCCGAGGGCACGUCUGCCUGGGUGUCACAAAUCGUCGUCCUAAAUCCAUAAUUGGAUAUUGGACGGAAGCUGGUCUCCCGUGUGUUACCGCACGCGGUUGGCCAAAAUCUGAGCCAAGGAUGCUAGGAGCGUCUCGACAUGCGGUGGUGAAUACAAGCCUCGUCAUACAGUCGACGCUCUUGUCCUGAAGCUCUCGAUGACCCAAAGCCUCAACGCGACCCCAGGUCAGGCGGGAUCACCCGCUGAGUUUAAGCAUAUCAAUAAGCGGAGGAAAAGAAACUAACAAGGAUUCCCUUAGUAACGGCGAGCGAACCGGGAAGAGCCCAGCUUGAAAAUCGGAUGUCUUCGACGUUCGA
rnacentral:rRNA from 1 species